GACUUAUCAAGAGCGACUGAGGGAUUAGGCCCAAUGACGUCCAGCAACCUCCCGUUACGGGGAAGGUGCCAAUUCCUGCAGAAUGGGAUCAUUCUGAAAGAUAAGCC
rnacentral:ncRNA from 2 species